AGUUCCGAAACGUUCCAGUCGAAGAAGACUCACGUAUCUACAAAUCCCAAUUUUCGUUUCGUAAAACGCCGUUCGGAGGUCGAAAUCAAUUCCGUUUGUUUCCCGUGAAAGUAGACUCACGCAUCUACGUUUCUACACCUUUCGUUCGUCAAACGACCCGUCGACUGCUCGUGCUUCGGAGUCUACGCAGGGUUAGCUGUUUGCCAAGAUCACGUGGAUAAGCAAGCAGUUUAUGAUUUGAAAGCUGGUCCACUCCGAUUCUUUUGAUUCCUCGGAGGUUUUUAUGUUAUUAAACUAGUUUCUAUUUUUUCGAACUCUUAGACCGCAGUAGAACUAGUUUAUACAUUACUUAUUAUUGCACUUUGGGAUUGUCGAUUUGAGCGACUAUUUAUUUUUGGCAUGUUCACUCCGGAUUAUU